rnacentral:lncRNA from 1 species
GAAAACUUGAUUUUUGAAGUUUUGUUUAUAAAACGUCGUUUUAGGAUUUUUUUUGAUAAAAAAAUCUCAAUGAUUAAGGUUUAUGUAUAAAAACAAACAUUACUAAAGCCAAAACAGUAUCAUUUGUAUAUAGGUAGAGUUUAGAAAUAGAAAAAAAUGUCAAAAUUGAAACCCUCCCAAACUUUCACAGAUUUUUACAUAUGACCUUUGACCUCAAUUUAAAAAAAAUGUGACCAUAUCAAGUCCUGACGACAGGCAUAUUAUUAUAGUACACGA